rnacentral:rRNA from 1 species
AGCCGCGGUAAUACGUAGGGGGCGAGCGUUGUCCGGAAUGAUUGGGCGUAAAGGGCGCGCAGGCGGCCUGUCAAGUCAGUAGUGGAAGUCCAUUUUUCAAGGAUGGAAGUGCUAUAGAAACUGAUGGGCUUGAGUGCAGGAGAGGUUAUCGGAAUUCCCGGUGUAGCGGUGAAAUGCGUAGAGAUCGGGAGGAACACCAGUGGCGAAGGCGGGUAACUGGACUGCAACUGACGCUGAGGCGCGAAAGUGUGGGGAGCAAACAGGAUUAGAUACCCUGGUAGUCCACACUGUAAACGAUGAAUGCUAGGUGUAGGGGGUAUCGACCCCUUCUGUGCCGAAGUAAACACAAUAAGCAUUCCGCCUGGGGAGUACGGUCGCAAGAUUAAAACUCAAAGGAAUUGACGGGGGCCCGCACAAGCAGCGGAGCAUGUGGUUUAAUUCGAAGCAACGCGAAGAACCUUACCAGGUCUUGACAUCCAUCUAAAGCUGCGGAGACGCAGUGUGAGCAAGCUCGAGAUGAGACAGGUGGUGCAUGGCC